rnacentral:rRNA from 1 species
UACAGAGGGUGCGAGCGUUAAUCGGAGUUACUGGGCGUAAAGGGCGCGUAGGCGGUUAUAUAAGUGAGAAUGUGAAAUCCCUGGGCUUAACCUAGGAACUGCAUCUCAUACUGUAUGACUGGAGUAUUGUAGAGGGUAGUGGAAUUUCCGGUGUAGCGGUGAAAUGCGUAGAGAGUCGGAAGGAACACCAGUGGCGAAGGCGGCUACCUGGACAAAUACUGACGCUGAGGCGGCGAGAGCGUGGGGACGCAA